rnacentral:rRNA from 1 species
CGCGCAGGCGGACUUGCAAGUCAGAUGUGAAAUCUCGGGGCUCAACCUCGAAACUGCGUCUGAAACUGCAGGCCUAGAAUGUCGGAGGGGGUAGGGGAAUUUCACGUGUAGGGGUAAAAUCCGUAAGAGAUGUGAAGGAACACCGGUGGCGAAGGCGCCUACCUGGACGACUAUUGACGCUGAGGCGCGAAAGCGUGGGGAGCAAACA